rnacentral:rRNA from 1 species
CCUAACACAUGCAAGUCGAACGGUAACAGGAAGCAGCUUGCUGCUUUGCUGACGAGUGGCGGACGGGUGAGUAAUGUCUGGGAAACUGCCUGAUGGAGGGGGAUAACUACUGGAAACGGUAGCUAAUACCGCAUAACGUCGCAAGACCAAAGAGGGGGACCUUCGGGCCUCUUGCCAUCAGAUGUGCCCAGAUGGGAUUAGCUAGUAGGUGGGGUAACGGCUCACCUAGGCGACGAUCCCUAGCUGGUCUGAGAGGAUGACCAGCCACACUGGAACUGAGACACGGUCCAGACUCCUACGGGAGGCAGCAGUGGGGAAUAUUGCACAAUGGGCGCAAGCCUGAUGCAGCCAUGCCGCGUGUAUGAAGAAGGCCUUCGGGUUGUAAAGUACUUUCAGCGGGGAGGAAGGCGAUGCGGUUAAUAACCGUGUCGAUUGACGUUACCCGCAGAAGAAGCACCGGCUAACUCCGUGCCAGCAGCCGCGGUAAUACGGAGGGUGCAAGCGUUAAUCGGAAUUACUGGGCGUAAAGCGCACGCAGGCGGUCUGUCAAGUCGGAUGUGAAAUCCCCGGGCUCAACCUGGGAACUGCAUCCGAAACUGGCAGGCUUGAGUCUCGUAGAGGGGGGUAGAAUUCCAGGUGUAGCGGUGAAAUGCGUAGAGAUCUGGAGGAAUACCGGUGGCGAAGGCGGCCCCCUGGACGAAGACUGACGCUCAGGUGCGAAAGCGUGGGGAGCAAACAGGAUUA